rnacentral:rRNA from 1 species
UACGGAGGGUGCGAGCGUUAAUCGGAAUUACUGGGCGUAAAGCGCACGUAGGCGGCCUGUUAAGCUGGAUGUGAAAGCCCCGGGCUCAACCUGGGAAUGGCUUCCAGAACUGGCAGGCUAGAGUACGGUAGAGGUGAGUGGAAUUUCCUGUGUAGCGGUGAAAUGCGUAGAUAUAGGAAGGAACACCAGUGGCGAAGGCGGCUCACUGGACUGGUACUGACGCUGAGGUGCGAAAGCGUGGGGAGCAAACAGG